rnacentral:rRNA from 1 species
UACGAAGGGGGCUAGCGUUGCUCGGAAUCACUGGGCGUAAAGCGCACGUAGGCGGCUUUUUAAGUCAGGGGUGAAAUCCUGGAGCUCAACUCCAGAACUGCCUUUGAUACUGGCGAUCUCGAGUCCGGGAGAGGUGAGUGGAACUGCGAGUGUAGAGGUGAAAUUCGUAGAUAUUCGCAAGAACACCAGUGGCGAAGGCGGCUCACUGGCCCGGUACUGACGCUGAUGUGCGAAAGCGUGGGGAGCAAACAGG